GACGAACGCUGGCGGCGUGCUUAACACAUGCAAGUCGAACGGAAAGGCCCUGCUUGCAGGGUACUCGAGUGGCGAACGGGUGAGUAACACGUGGGUGAUCUGCCCUGCACUUCGGGAUAAGCCUGGGAAACUGGGUCUAAUACCGGAUAGGAGCCAUUUUUAGUGUGAUGGUUGGAAAGUUUUUUCGGUGUAGGAUGAGCUCGCGGCCUAUCAGCUUGUUGGUGGGGUAAUGGCCCACCAAGGCGGCGACGGGUAGCCGGCCUGAGAGGGUGGACGGCCACAUUGGGACUGAGAUACGGCCCAGAUUCCUACGGGAGGCAGCAGGGGGGAAUAUUGCACAAUGGGCGCAAGCCUGAUGCAGCGACGCCGCGUGGGGGAUGACGGCCUUCGGGUUGUAAACUCCUUUCGCUAGGGACGAAGCUUUUUGUGACGGUACCUAGAUAAGAAGCACCGGCUAACUACGUG
rnacentral:rRNA from 1 species